rnacentral:rRNA from 1 species
GGGGUAGAACGCUGGCGGCGUGCUUACACAUGCAGUCGAGCGAUGAGACCCAGCUUGUGGGGUGGAUUCGUGGCGAGCGGGUGGGUGACACGUGAGUGACCUGCCCGUGUCUCUGGGAGAAGCCUGGGAAGCUGGGUCUAAUACUGGAUAUGACUUCUCUUCGCAUGGUGGGGGGUGGAAAGAUUUAUUGGUCUUGGAUGGACUCCCGACCUAUCAGCUUGUUGGUGAGGUAAUGGCUCACCAAGGCGACCACGGGUAGCCGGCCUGAAAGGGUGACCGGCCACACUGGGACUGAACUGGGACCAAACUCCUACCGGAGGCCCUAGUGGAGAAUAUUGCACAAUGUCUUCCACCCUGAUGCAACGACUCCGCGAGAGGGAUGACGGCCUUCGGGUUGUAAACCUCUUUCAAUAACUAAGAAGCGAGAGAGACAGUACCUGCAGAAGAAGCGCCGGCUAACUACGUGCCACCAACCGCGGUACCACG